UACGUAGGUGGCAAGCGUUAUCCGGAAUUAUUGGGCGUAAAGGGUGCGCAGGCGGUUUAUUAAGUUUAGGGUGAAAGCGUUGGGCUCAACCCAAUACAGCCUUAAAAACUGAUAAACUAGAGUGCAGAAGAGGGUAGUGGAAUUCCAUGUGUAGCGGUAAAAUGCGUAGAUAUAUGGAGGAACACCAGUGGCGAAGGCGGCUACCUGGUCUGUAACUGACGCUCAGGCACGAAAGCGUGGGGAGCAAAUAGG
rnacentral:rRNA from 1 species